rnacentral:rRNA from 1 species
CGAAAGCCUGACGGAGCAAUACCGCGUGAGGGAUGAAUGCCUAUGGGUUGUAAACCUCUUUUUUCAGGGAGGAAUAAAUGACGUGUACCUGAAGAAUAAGCAUCGGCUAACUCCGUGCCAGCAGCCGCGGUAAGACGGAGGAUGCAAGUGUUAUCCGGAAUCACUGGGCGUAAAGCGUCUGUAGGUGGCUUAAUAAGUCAACUGUUAAAUCUUGAAGCUCAACUUCAAAAUCGCAGUCGAAACUAUUAGACUAGAGUAUAGUAGAGGUAAAGGGAAUUUCCAGUGGAGCGGUGAAAUGCGUAGAGAUUGGAAAGGACACCGAUGGCGAAGGCACUUUACUGGGCUAUUACUGACACUCAGAGACGAAAGCUAGAGUAGCAAAUG